UCGGUCCCUAGAGGUCUUACAGGUAUCAGAUUUGCAUCGGUAGGCUGCAGAAAGCCUAUGUUAUGCUCAGUGUUCUGACCUGUGAACAUCUGAAUGCUUUGAUUAGUGACAUAACAUU
rnacentral:snoRNA from 1 species